UACGGAGGAUCCGAGCGUUAUCCGGAUUUAUUGGGUUUAAAGGGUGCGUAGGCGGCCUGUUAAGUCAGGGGUGAAAGACGGUAGCUCAACUAUCGCAGUGCCCUUGAUACUGAUGGGUUAGAAUGUACUAGAGGCAGGCGGAAUGUGACAAGUAGCGGUGAAAUGCAUAGAUAUGUCACAGAACACCAAUUGCGAAGGCAGCUUGCUAUGGUAUAAUUGACGCUGAGGCACGAAAGCGUGGGGAUCAAACAGG
rnacentral:rRNA from 1 species